AUUUUUCGUUCAAGGUGUUAAUUUGUUCUAUUUCCUCACCUGGUUCUCCGGGAGCGCCUCCCCUUCCGACGGCGGGCGCUUGGAUUCCUCUCGUCGGCGAUGGCAGCCGAAGUUGUUAAUCUCCCAGCUAUUGAACCUCAAUGCAAGGCUACAAUACAAUCUAGGUUUUCAACACUUAGGUUCAUGAAAGUUGUGAAACGAUUUAAUGAUAUUCAGAAGUCCUUUAUAUCAAAGCAUCAUCUGGAAAUCUUCUGAAACUACCUGAACACUUGAUGGUUCCUUUGCAUCUUCAGCAGUGGCUACUCGGCCAUACUACUGGUUGUUGUAUACUUGGAUUUCCUCGAUUUCAAUGACAAUGCCCCCCCCAUUGAUUAUAGUCUGCCUAGGAUGUCCUUCAUCGGAAAUGAAGAUUUCUCCUAUCUCGUGAAUUCAGAUCGUAACAUAACGUCUCGAAAAUCAUAUGGGGUGCUACCAAUAAGGGACAUUUCUCUAACUCCAUAUGGCACUCCUCUACAAAUCCUCCUAGAUGCACCUCAGGCAAGAGAUGGUGAUGCAGUUUUGCAAGUUGGCUAAUGAUCUCAUAGAUCAUCCACCAGAACCUAAUCAAGCCAUCCUGGGCGAGUUAUUCGUAGAUGAUUUUAAUGAAGAUGGCUACUACAAUCAGGAGGGGGCGAAGCCAGCAGCAGCACUUGUGGCGGGAGGCGAGUAUCACUGAAGCGGAGGCGUCGUCCUGAACUCGUUCACCCUUGAUCAGUCGACUUUUUGAGAAACCUGAGAGUUGUGAAGACGUCUUGAUUUUCUGUUUAGUCGUCCCGUUUGCAUCCUUUUCGGUUCUGCUUAGUGUUGGUAUCGAGCGAUUUUAAGCACUGCUGUAAGAUUGUCUGAUUAGUCGUCCUGUUUGGUCUUUUUUCCGGUUCUGCUUAGUGCUGGUAUCGAGCAAUUUUUAA